rnacentral:lncRNA from 1 species
UUGUGAGCCAGAUCAAAACCCUGUCCUGGGGAGACAAUUGGGUAUGUCCAGGUGCAGUUGUUCAAUGUGAUUUAGUCCCUACCAGGAGGUCUGGUUGCCUGGGUUCAGAACAGCAGAGGAAAAAUUAGACAAAAGACACAUUCAGAAGUCAAGGUGCUCUGACAGUUCAGCAGACAUAUGACCUAACUUCAACCAGCAGACAGGAUCUGACCUAGGAAAGAUGAAGACAAAAACCAGAUCUCAAACAGAUGUAUUGUAGUUCAAGGUAGGGCAAUCAGACCUGUAGGAAGACUGAGCAGGCCACUGAAUUGGGCCCCCGAAAGAGAAGCCCAGACAUGAGGACUGGACCCACCCAGGAACUGGGAGUAAAGCAAUUUGGGGACAGUUGGGUCCUAGGCCUCGCCUCUAGGAAACCUGGAUUGCCCAGUCGGUGCUGAAGGUGUCUCAGAUCUGCUUGGAUCUAUAAUAUUGGACCUGAUUUUCUAUGCAGGUACAGUCACAUUUAUGUCUUUUAAUAAUAGAGUUCAUCCAUCAUACAAGAUUGAUGAUCCCUGCAGAAGUUAAAAGUCUAGGAAUAAGAAAUUUGCACUUUAAAGAAGUCUUUCCUUUGUCUUACGGCUUCCAGAAUUCCUGAUGAGGAGUCUGCUAUCAAUCUUAUCUUGUGGCUUUGAAGUUCUGCAGGCUGUACAAGAGACACGGCACCAACAUCUGCAUCUGGGGAGGACUUCAGGCUACUUCAUUCACAGCACAAAAUGAAGGGGAGCAGUGUGUGCUGAGAUCACGUGGUGGUGAGAGAGGAAGCAAGAGAGAGAGAAUGGACUCAAUGGGCUCCUGAACAAAAUUCUUACAAUGGCAGGGAUGGAGACCACACAUCUACUCAACACAAAGACUUUGCCUCAGGAGGCUGACCUGGAUAAGACCAUGCUGUGUACCCAAAUGGCCAGCAGAAGCCCACACUGAGCCCCAUACAUAGCACCAUGCUCCAGGCAUAUUAGCCUCAAUCUGAGGACAGACUGAGUAUAUUGGACCCCUUGCAGCAUGGAGAGGUCAGUGAUGUUUUUCUUCCUGGAAUACUUAGUGUGAGUACCCACUUUCCUUCCCAAAAAUACCAUCUGUGGGA